GACUGUGCUAAGGUAGCAUAAUAAUUUGUCUCUUAAUUGGAGGCUGGAAUGAAUGGGUUAACUUGAGCUUAACUGUCUCUUUUUAGAACAAAAACUUUAGUUUUAAGUAAAAACGCUUAAAUCCUCUAGAGGGACGAGAAGACCCUUCAGAUCUUUCCCAAUAAGCAUGAAGUGGUAAUUCUACUUAAAGGGUUACCUGGGAGGGGGUUCAAAUGAUAAACUUUAAAAUAAACAUAAAGACUUAGACUUUAAUGCUAUUGUCUAACUUGUUGAUCCUUAUUGGAUAGAUUGAAAAGAUACCUGAGGGAUAACAGCGUAA
rnacentral:rRNA from 1 species